rnacentral:lncRNA from 1 species
UUGCUGUGCAGCACGAAGCGUGUGCUCUGAGAGCACCAUAUAUGAUAUCACGGGAAUCACACCUCAGCUUACAUAUGUCCGUCAUCAAGCAUCCCAUGACUCGAAAUUUCGAACAUUUCUUAAGAAGAUACGGCAAUCAAUGGAGAAAACGUAGAAUGUCGAUCAACACAGGGAAAAGGAUAGUUACUUUAAUCGUCCAAAGACGGGCAGCUGCGGCUCGAGAUGAUUCGUAUUACCACAGCGUACCGAAAGCCCAGCCUCGAUCGUCGCAAGCCGGGCCGAUGGGCCGAACACCAUGAAAUUUAUCAGGGUGACGUUGCCCUCUCGCGUGGGGCCCA